rnacentral:tRNA from 1 species
CGCCCAACUGCAACAGGCGGAUCUCCAGCCGCGUUUCGACCGCGGCGGUGGUGGUCAGCGGUUCGGUCCCGCCCUGUGCGC